rnacentral:rRNA from 1 species
GAUGAACGCUGGCGGCGUGCCUAAUACAUGCAAGUCGAGCGAACGGACGAGAAGCUUGCUUCUCUGAUGUUAGCGGCGGACGGGUGAGUAACACGUGGAUAACCUACCUAUAAGACUGGGAUAACUUCGGGAAACCGGAGCUAAUACCGGAUAAUAUUUUGAACCGCAUGGUUCAAAAGUGAAAGACGGUCUUGCUGUCACUUAUAGAUGGAUCCGCGCUGCAUUAGCUAGUUGGUAAGGUAACGGCUUACCAAGGCAACGAUGCAUAGCCGACCUGAGAGGGUUAUCGGCCACACUGGAACUGAGACACGGUCCAGACUCCUACGGGAGGCAGCAGUAGGGAAUCUUCCGCAAAGGGCGAAAGCCUGACGGAGCAACGCCGCGUGAGUGAUGAAGGUCUUCGGAUCGUAAAACUCUGUUAUUAGGGAAGAACAUAUGUGUAAGUAACUGUGCACAUCUUGACGGUACCUAAUCAGAAAGCCACGGCUAACUACGUG